UCAGACCAAUCUUGAUUCACUCCCUGGAA
rnacentral:piRNA from 1 species